rnacentral:rRNA from 1 species
CACGUAGGGCGCAAGCGUUGUCCGGAAUUAUUGGGCGUAAAGAGCUCGUAGGCGGUCUGUUGCGUCCGCUGUGAAAACUCGGGGCUUAACCCCGAGCCUGCAGUGGAUACGGGCAGACUAGAGGUAGGUAGGGGAGAAUGGAAUUCCCGGUGUAGCGGUGAAAUGCGUAGAUAUUGGGAGGAACACCAGUGGCGAAGGCGGCUCACUGGACCGGUACUGACGCUGAGGCGCGAAAGCGUGGGGAGCAAACGGG